UACAGAGGGUGCGAGCGUUGUUCGGAAUUAUUGGGCGUAAAGGGCGCGUAGGCGGUGCGGUAAGUCACCUGUGAAAUCUCCUGGCUCAACUGGGAGCUUGCAGGCGAAACUGCCGUGCUGGAGUGUGGGAGAGGUGCGUGGAAUUCCUGGUGUAGCGGUGAAAUGCGUAGAUAUCAGGAGGAACACCUGUGGCGAAAGCGGCGCACUGGACCAACACUGACGCUGAGGCGCGAAAGCUAGGGGAGCAAACAGG
rnacentral:rRNA from 1 species